rnacentral:lncRNA from 1 species
AGGUAAAAUUCUCUCUUGUUUUACCUUUUUGUUCCAAGAUCUAUAUUUGGUUUUCAAACAUUAAUCUUCACGUAUGUUUCUUUCAAUGAACUGCUUUGUUUUUAUUUCAAUUUAUUUUUCAACACGCAUAAAAACCUAAACAAAUUUAUUUGUUUAAAUUUUGUCUUGAACAUUGUCUUUAAGUAUAUAUGUUCAUUAGAGAAAUUUUUGGGUAACAAAUGACAACUGCAGCUAUGUCUGGUAUUGAGAUUGGUCAAAAACCAGCAACUGUAAUGAAGAGAAGUGACCUUGAGUUUGCAAUAUGUGAGUGCUGUGGGCUGACAGAGGAGUGCACGGAGGCUUACGUGGCGUGUGUUCGAGAGCGCUACCUGGGGCGGUGGAUAUGCGGGCUGUGCGCAGAGGCAGUGAAGGAUAAGCCGCCAAUCAUUGCUGAUGGAAUUUCCGGUCUAAAAUUCGUUGAGAGAUCCCAAAAUCAGUCUUUUAUAUAUCACCAUCUUCCGUGUUCUUAUCAUUUCCAGUUCUCACAGUUUCAAAAGAAAAAAAGAACUGAAAUUCUUGAAUCUUCUAUAACUUCUUUCUAUGAUUUAGCGGAUUCAUUUAAGAGAAAGCAGAAUCAAGAGAAGAGCCAUACGGGGCUCUCUGAAAUGUAUAUGAUAUUCAAGCGACUGAUCAUAGGCGGAGAGAUUGUUGAAGAAGAAGGAGAGUGGGAAAAGGAAAGAUAAGAAAAACCCACCAAGAUCUGUUUAUCAUAUAUCUGUUUCAUUCAAUCCAUCAGGUAAAAUUCUCUCUUGUUUUACCUUUUUGUUCCAAGAUCUAUAUUUGGUUUUCAAACAUUAAUCUUCAAGUAUGUUUCUUUCAAUGAACUGCUUUGUUUUUAUUUCAAUUUAUUUUUCAACACGCAUAAAAACCUAAACAAAUUUAUUUGUUUAAAUUUUGUCUUGAACAUUGUCUUUAAGUAUAUAUGUUCAUUAGAGAAAUUUUUAGGUAACAAAUGACAACUGCAGCUAUGUCUGGUAUUGAGAUUGGUCAAAAACCAGCAACUGUAAUGAAGAGAAGUGACCUUGAGUUUGCAAUAUGUGAGUGCUGUGGGCUGACAGAGGAGUGCACGGAGGCUUACGUGGCGUGUGUUCGAGAGCGCUACCUGGGGCGGUGGAUAUGCGGGCUGUGCGCAGAGGCAGUGAAGGAUGAGAUUGUGAGAUCAGAGAAAAGGAUUGGAAAUGAGGAGGCUUUAAAUCAGCACACGAGUUUUUGCAGGAAAUUUAAGAGUUUAAGGCCACCUAAGAAUUCAACUGAGGAACUCAUUUCUGCUGUCAAGAAUCUG